rnacentral:rRNA from 1 species
AUUGAACGCUGGCGGCAUGCCUUACACAUGCAAGUCGAACGGUAACAGGUCUUCGGAUGCUGACGAGUGGCGAACGGGUGAGUAAUACAUCGGAACGUGCCUAGUAGUGGGGGAUAACUACUCGAAAGAGUGGCUAAUACCGCAUGAGAUCUACGGAUGAAAGCAGGGGAUCGCAAGACCUUGUGCUACUAGAGCGGCCGAUGGCAGAUUAGGUAGUUGGUGGGAUAAAAGCUUACCAAGCCGACGAUCUGUAGCCGGUCUGAGAGGACGAUCAGCAACACUGGGACGGAGACACGGCCCGGACUCCUACGGGAGGCAGCAGUGGGGAAUUUUGGACAAUGGGCGCAAGCCUGAUCCAGCAAUGCCGCGUGCAGGAUGAAGGCCUUCGGGUUGUAAACUGCUUUUGUACGGAACGAAAAGCCCUGGGUUAAUACCCUGGGGUCAUGACGGUACCGUAAGAAUAAGCACCGGCUAACUACGUGCCAGCAGCCGCGGUAA